rnacentral:lncRNA from 1 species
UCUCUUUUCUGCGGCUGAUUUUCGGAGUCGAGCUUAACACAUUUACCUUUAGAUAAGAAUUAUUUACCUCUUCCUGAUCCCAUGGUUUAUGCGCUAUUUCAAAGAAAAGCUCAAAUUAUAUCAACUAACUUUGUAGAUGAUCACCACGAAAACUUUUUGCGUCUUCUUCAUCAAUAACAUAAUACUAAAAGUCACUUCAUAUCAUCGUC